UACGUAGGGCGCAAGCGUUGUCCGGAAUUAUUGGGCGUAAAGAGCUCGUAGGCGGUUUGUUGCGUCGGCUGUGAAAUCCCGAGGCUCAACCUCGGGUCUGCAGUCGAUACGAGCAAACUAGAGUGUUGCAGGGGAGACUGGAAUUCCUGGUGUAGCGGUGAAAUGCGCAGAUAUCAGGAGGAACACCGGGUGGCGAAGGCGGGUCUCUGGGCAACAACUGACGCUGGAGGAGCGAAAGCGUGGGGAGCGAACAGG
rnacentral:rRNA from 1 species